rnacentral:rRNA from 1 species
ACGGCUGCUCAGUAACACGUGGACAACCUGCCCUCGGGUGGGGGAUAACCCCGGGAAACUGGGGCUAAUCCCCCAUAGGUGAUGGGUGCUGGAAUGCCCCAUCUCCGAAAGCGCUUAGCGCCCGAGGAUGGGUCUGCGGCGGAUUAGGUAGUUGGUGGGGUAACGGCCCACCAAGCCUAAGAUCCGUACGGGCUGUGGGAGCAGGAGCCCGGAGAUGGACCCUGAGACAAGGGUCCAGGCCCUACGGGGCGCAGCAGGCGCGAAACCUCCGCAAUGCGGGAAACCGCGACGGGGUUAGCCGGAGUGCCCGUGCAUUGCACGGGCUGUCGGGGUGCCUAAACAGCACCCCAUAGCAAGGGCCGGGCAAGGCCGGUGGCAGCCGCCGCGGUAAGACCGGCGGCCCGAGUGGCGGCCACUCUUAUUGGGCCUAAAGCGUCCGUAGCCGGCCCAGUAAGUCCCCCGGGAAAUCUGGUCGCUUAACGAUCAGACUUCCGGGGGAUACUGCUGGGCUAGGGACCGGGAGAGGCCGAGGGUAUUCCCAGGGUAGGGGUGAAAUCCUGUAAUCCCGGGAGGACCACCUGUGGCGAAGGCGCUCGGCUGGAACGGGUCCGACGGUGAGGGACGAAGGCCUGGGGAGCGAACCGGAUUAGAUACCCGGGUAGUCCAGGCUGUAAACGAUGCGGGCUAGGUGUCACCGGAGCUACGAGCUCCGGUGGUGCCGGAGGGAAGCCGUUAAGCCCGCCGCCUGGGAAGUACGGCCGCAAGGCUGAAACUUAAAGGAAUUGGCGGGGGAGCAGA